AAUCUUCCGCAAUGGACGAAAGUCUGACGGAGCAACGCCGCGUGAGCGAAGAAGAUCUUCGGAUCGUAAAGCUCUGUUGUUAGGGAAGAACAAGUACCGGAGUAACUGUCGGUACCUUGACGGUACCUAACCAGAAAGCCACGGCUAACUACGUGCCAGCAGCCGCGGUAAUACGUAGGUGGCAAGCGUUGUCCGGAAUCAUUGGGCGUAAAGCGCGCGCAGGCGGUCCUUUAAGUCUGAUGUGAAAUCUUGCGGCUCAACCGUAAGCGGUCAUUGGAAACUGGGGGACUUGAGUGCAGAAGAGGAAAGUGGAAUUCAAAGUGUAGCGGUGAAAUGCGUAGAGAUUUGGAGGAACACCAGUGGCGAAGGCGACUUUCUGGUCUGUAACUGACGCUGAGGCGCGAAAGCGUGGGGAGCAAACAGG
rnacentral:rRNA from 1 species